rnacentral:misc_RNA from 1 species
CAAUUACGCUUCGAUGCCAAGUUUUGCUUUCAGCCCUGCUGCCACAGCAUCAAUGAAUUCUUCAGUAUUGAGAUACUGGUCCCGAGUAACCUUAGGCCCAUGAAUAAUCAAUGCAAGAUCCUUGGUCAUCUUGCCAGACUCCACCGUUCCAAUACAAGCUGCUUCAAGCUUCUGGGUGAAAUCCAAGAGUCUAGCAUUGUCAUCCAACUUAGCCCUGUGUGCAAGACCUCGUGACCAUGC